UACAGAGGGGGCAAGCGUUGUUCGGAAUUACUGGGCGUAAAGGGCGCGUAGGCGGCCUUCUAAGUCGAACGUGAAUCCCCGGGCUCAACCCGGGAACUGCGUCCGAGACUGGAAGGCUUGAAUCCGGGAGAGGGAUGUGGAAUUCCAGGUGUAGCGGUGAAAUGCGUAGAUAUCUGGAGGAACAUCGGUGGCGAAGGCGGCAUCCUGGACCGGUAUUGACGCUGAGGCGCGAAAGCCAGGGGAGCAAACGGG
rnacentral:rRNA from 1 species